rnacentral:pre_miRNA from 1 species
AGUGGGAUAGCUGGGUCAAAUAGUGGUCCCAUUCCAAGUUUUCUGAAGAAUCUCCAUACUGUUUUCUAUAAUGGUUGCACCAAUUUGCUGUCCUACUAGCAAU